UGAAAUUGGCGACUCCAUCUUUCACACUAUGUAAGCAAAACUGGAAAAAGACAUAUAAGUAGUAAUUUUUUUCAGCUCCCUUGAAUUUGUUUGUGUGUCUCCACUGUUACCAUAUUAAAUGCUUUGGAUUUAUGUGUAAUAUUUAUUAAGAAUGAUGGACACAUAGCUGACUUUUGCAAGGAACAAGAGUAAAUGCUUUUUCU
rnacentral:lncRNA from 1 species